CAAAAAAAUAAUAUUACAUCCCAUAUCUCUUAAGUGUUUGGAAUUUGGACCCAUGGUAUGUAUUUCAGAAUAUUUAGUUUAUUUCAAAAUAUUUAGUCAAAAAAAUGAACUGUUUCAGAAUAUUUAGUUAAUAUUAACUAAAUAUUAACAUUUAGUUAAUAAAAUGAACUGUUUCAAAAUAUUAAGUAUUUGGAAUUUGGACCCAUGGUAUGUAUUUCAAAAAAAAUGAACUGUUUCAGAAUAUUUAAUUAACACAACUAAUAUUUAGUUGUGUCAAUAGUUUAACAUUUUGAGCUGAAAAAUACUUACUG
rnacentral:lncRNA from 1 species